GACGAACGCUGGCGGCGUGCUUAACACAUGCAAGUCGAACGAUGAAGCCAGCUUGCUGGUGGAUUAGUGGCGCACGGGUGAGUAACACGUGGGUGAUCUGCCCCAAACUUUGGGAUAAGCCUGGGAAACUGGGUCUAAUACCGAAUAUGACCGAUACUCGCAUGGGUGUUGGUGGAAAGCUCCGGCGGUUUGGGAUGGGCCCGCGGCCUAUCAGCUUGUUGGUGGGGUAAUGGCCUACCAAGGCGACGACGGGUAGCCGGCCUGAGAGGGCGACCGGCCACACGGGGACUGAGACACGGCCCAGACGCCUACGGGAGGCAGCAGUGGGGAAUAUUGCACAAUGGGCGCAAGCCUGAUGCAGAGACGCCGCGUGAGGGAUGACGGCCUUCGGGUUGUAAACCUCUUUCACCAGGGACGAAGCGAAAGUGACGGUACCUGGAGAAGAAGCACCGGCCAACUACGUG
rnacentral:rRNA from 1 species